rnacentral:rRNA from 1 species
UACGGGGGGGGCAAGCGUUGUUCGGAAUUACUGGGCGUAAAGGGCUCGUAGGUGGCCAACUAAGUCAGACGUGAAAUCCCUCGGCUUAACCGGGGAACUGCGUCUGAUACUGGAUGGCUUGAGUUCGGGAGAGGGAUGCGGAAUUCCAGGUGUAGCGGUGAAAUGCGUAGAUAUCUGGAGGAACACCGGUGGCGAAGGCGGCAUCCUGGACCGAUACUGACGCUGAGGCGCGAAAGCGUAGGGAGCAAACAGG